AACGUAGGUUCCGAGCGUUAUCCGGAUUUACUGGGCGUAAAGCGUGUUCAGGCGGCUCGGCAAGUCGGGCAUGAAAUCUCUCGGCUCAACCGGGAGGGGUUGUCCGAUACUGUCGGGCUUGAGGGCAGUAGAGGGUGGUGGAAUUCCGGGUGUAGUGGUGAAAUGCGUAGAUAUCGGGAGGAACAUCAGUGGCGAAGGCGGCCAUCUGGGACAACACUGACGCUGAAGCACGAAAGCGUGGGGAGCAAACAGG
rnacentral:rRNA from 1 species